rnacentral:rRNA from 1 species
CAACCYGGUYGAUCCUGCCAAGGAAGCACACUUAGGUCAUAGAUUAAGCCAUGCAAGUGUUAGUUCAGGUAACGAAACUGCGAAUAGCUCAUUAACACACUCAGAAUCUAUUUGAUGGCGACUCACAGAGUCUUAAAUGGAUAGCAGGAGUAAAUCUCGUGCUAAUACAUGCAAGUUGUUUCACCAGACGUGAAUUAUGGUGGAAAAGUUGACCCUCACGGGUACAUCAUUCGACUGAGUGACCUAUCAGCUUGUACUUAGGGUCUUUACCUAGGUAGGCUAUCACGGGUAACGGGCGGUUACCGUCGUACUGCCGGAGAAGGCGCCUGAGAGAUAGCGACUAUGUCCACGGGCAGCAGCAGGCGCGAAACUUACCCACUCGAGACUUUCGGAGGUGGUAAUGACCAGUUCCAUUCGAACCUUUUGGUUCAGUGGAUAGGACCACAGUUUUCCACUGUGGUGAAACCUAGCAGAGGGCCAGUCUGGUGCCAGCAGCUGCGGUAAUUCCAGCUCUGCGAGUUUGCUCCCAUAUUGUUGCAGUUAAAACGCCCGUAGUCUGAACUCGGUCGCGAGACAAUAUGUGCAAUUGCACGUUCACUGUGAACAAAUCAGGACGCUUAGGGUAUGGUAUACACGAAUGACCUAGCGCAGUAUGAAAUCUUUGCUACGCAAGUASAAGCUCAAUGAGAGCCAUCGGGGGUGGAUCUAUUUCAUGGCGAGUGGCGGAAUACUUUGACCCAUGAGAGAGAAGCUAAAGCGAAGGCAUCCACCUAGAGGGUUUCUGUCGAUCAAGGGCGAGAGUAGGAGUAUCCAACCGGAUUAGAGACCCGGGUAGUUCCUACUGUAAACGAUGCCGACAGGGGAUUGCUCCUUUCAUUAGGGCAGCACCUUAGGAGAAAUCAUAGUUCAUGGGCUCUGGGGGAACUACGACCGCAAGGCUGAAACUUGAAGGAAUUGACGGAAGGGCACACCAGGGGUGGAGCCUGUGGCUUAAUUUGAAUCAACACGGGGAAACUUACCAGGACAAGAUGUAUUUUAUGACUGACAGGCUUAAGGUCUUUCAGGAUAUAGCUUUUGGUGGUGCAUGGCCGUUGGUGGUGCGUGGGUUGACCUGUCUAGCGUUGAUUCAGCUAACGAGCGAGAUUAUCGCCAAUUACCUACUCCAACGUGGUUUCCACGUUUGGAGUUCUAAUUGGGACUCCCUGCGUCUAAGCAGGCGGAAGAGGGUAGCAAUAACAGGUCCGUGAUGUCCUUUAGAUGCUCUGGGCUGCACGCGUGCUACAAUGUUAGGAUCAAAGGGCAGCUACCCCGAUAGGGGAAGCCACUCCGACAAUCCCUAACGUAGUUGGGAUUGAUGGUUGUAAUCACCAUCAUGAACCAGGAAUCCCUUGUAAAUGUGUGUCAACAGCGCACGUUGAAUACGUCCCUGCCCUUUGUACACACCGCCCGUCGCUCCUACCGAUUGGAUGACUCGGUGAAAUCACUGGACUGCAUGCAGGAAGGUGAUUAAAUCACGUUAUCUAGAGGAAGGAGAAGUCGUAACAAGGUAACGGUAGGUGAACCUGCAGAAGGAUC